ensembl:misc_RNA
GAGAUUAAGCAGAUAUCUGUGUGGUCACUACUCUCUUGCCAAGACACAGGGUGAACAAGAUUCCUUUAAAAAGCAAUGGUAUAAAUUAUUGCUUGAGGGUUGCAAAAAGAGUCGCACUGUUAAGGGGAAGGAGCGGCUGGCAAGACAGAG